GCCAGCAUGGUGUAGUGGUCUGGGUGCUGGACUAGGACUCUGAGGGACCAGGGUUUGAAUCCCUGUUUGUUUGCG